GAUGAACGCUGGCGGCGUGCCUAAUACAUGCAAGUCGAGCGAACAGACGAGGAGCUUGCUCCUCUGACGUUAGCGGCGGACGGGUGAGUAACACGUGGAUAACCUCCCUAUAAGACUGGGAUAACUUCGGGAAACCGGAGCUAAUACCGGAUAAUAUAUUGAACCGCAUGGUUCAAUAGUGAAAGACGGUUUUGCUGUCACUUAUAGAUGGAUCCGCGCCGCAUUAGCUAGUUGGUAAGGUAACGGCUUACCAAGGCAACGCUGCGUAGCCGACCCGAGAGGGUGAUCGGCCACACUGGAACUGAGACACGGUCCAGACUCCUACGGGAGGCAGCAGUAGGGAAUCUUCCGCAAAGGGCGAAAGCCUGACGGAGCAACGCCGCGUGAGUGAUGAAGGUCUUCGGAUCGUAAAACUCUGUUAUUAGGGAAGAACAAAUGUGUAAGUAACUAUGCACGUCUUGACGGUACCUAAUCAGAAAGCCACGGCUAACUACGUG
rnacentral:rRNA from 1 species